ACUAGCUGGGAUAUAAUAACUUAAGAACGAUAUGUAUUUGUUUGUAACACCUACGCGUGCGCCAGCUCAUGUGUUACACUGGUGAGCGACCUAACUUGAAGGAGACAAACGGAGCUUCUUUCGCAGAUAACAUACGAAACGUUUACAAUGGAGUCAUUUCGUUUACUCGAGCAUACUGACCAAGUUGCUCUGAAGAUAUUUUGCAUGUGCAUCCAGCCAGCGCAGACUUAUGCCGACUAACGCCCGUCCUAAUGAUAUCUGAGUUUACUCUCGUGGUUGUCGAUGCGAAACAUACAUGGGAUCAGGCACAAGCGCAGCCUUACUACAGGCCAAGCAUCGCCAACCUUCUUUGAAGAGGCAGCUUGUCUUCUCGCGUUACUGUUGCCCCUACUAUCUUCAUUAACAGCUUCAUGGAUGGUGGGAUCAGUACUGACGUAGUCGCUUGAUGUCCGCCGUGCGUUACGAGUCUCAGUCAGUGAUUCUAUGUCUACCCAUCAGCAGUUGACCCAAACCGUUACAGGCUCUAUGCUUAAGCCUUGUCUGGACUACGUCUGAACGGCGGCGGCGGCGGCGGCGGCGGCGGCUCUACCAACUAGGGGCUAAAUACAAAA